rnacentral:rRNA from 1 species
UGGGGAAUAUUGCACAAUGGGCGCAAGCCUGAUGCAGCAACGCCGCGUGAGGGACGACGGCCUUCGGGUUGUAAACCUCUUUUGGCAGGGAAGAAGCGAAAGUGACGGUACCUGCAGAAAAAGCACUGGCUAACUACGUGCCAGCAGCCGCGGUGAUACGUAGGGUGCAAGCGUUGUCCGGAAUUAUUGGGCGUAAAGAGCUCGUAGGCGGUUUGUCGCGUCUGCUGUGAUAACCCGAGGCUCAACCUCGGGCCUGCAGUGGGUACGGGCAAACUAGAGUGCGGUAGGGGAGAGUGGAAUUCCUGGUGCAGCGGUGGAAUGCGCAGAUAUCAGGAGGAACACCGAUGGCGAAGGCAGAUCUCUGGGCCGUAACUGACGCUGAGGAGCGAAAGCAUGGGGAGCGAACA